rnacentral:rRNA from 1 species
GUUCGUAGGCGGUGUAGGCAAGUUGGGAGUGAAAUCUCUGGGCUCAACCCAGAGGCUGCUUCCGAAACUGCUGUGCUUGAGUGUGAGAGAGGCGCGUGGAAUUGCAGGUGUAGCGGUGAAAUGCGUAGAUAUCUGCAGGAACACCCGUGGCGAAAGCGGCGCGCUGGAUCACUACUGACGCUGAGGAACGAAAGCUAGGGGAGCAAACAGGAUUAGAUACCCUGGUAGUCCUAGCCCUAAACGAUCAGGACUUGGGGUGCCACCCGUUCGGGUGUCGUCCCGGAGCUAACGCGUUAAGUCCUGCACCUGGGGAGUACGGUCGCAAGACUGAAACUCAAAGGAAUUGACGGGGGCCCGCACAAGCGGUGGAACAUGUGGUUCAAUUCCACGCUACCCGAGGAACCUUACCUGGGCUCUAAAUGCUGGUGACCAGCUGUAGAAAUACGGCCUUCCCGCAAGGGACACCAGUAUAGGCGCUGCAUGGCUGUCGUCAGCUCGUGCCGUGAGGUGUUGGGUUAAGUCCCGCAACGAGCGCAACCCUUGUCAUUAGUU